rnacentral:rRNA from 1 species
GACGAACGCUGGCGGUGUGCCUAAUACAUGCAAGUUGAGCGCUGAAGGUUGGUACUUGUACCAACUGGAUGAGCAGCGAACGGGUGAGUAACGCGUGGGGAAUCUGCCUUUGAGCGGGGGACAACAUUUGGAAACGAAUGCUAAUACCGCAUAAAAACUUUAAACACAAGUUUUAAGUUUGAAAGAUGCAAUUGCAUCACUCAAAGAUGAUCCCGCGCUGUAUUAGCUAGUUGGUGAGGUAAAGGCUCACCAAGGCGAUGAUACAUAGCCGACCUGAGAGGGUGAUCGGCCACAUUGGGACUGAGACACGGCCCAAACUCCUACGGGAGGCAGCAGUAGGGAAUCUUCGGCAAUGGACGAAAGUCUGACCGAGCAACGCCGCGUGAGUGAAGAAGGUUUUCGGAUCGUAAAACUCUGUUGGUAGAGAAGAACGUUGGUGAGAGUGGAAAGCUCAUCAAGUGACGGUAACUACCCAGAAAGGGACGGCUAACUACGUG